rnacentral:lncRNA from 1 species
AGUUCCUAUCCCUUUCGGAGCUCCAGCCUGCCCCUCCUGACGCUCUCAGAGUCUGGCCUUCUGCUGGGCCCCGGGUCUCUCACUGGCAGAAUGGAGUUCUCGGAGCUGAUCCAUACGGGCUGAGCCCAAGCAGAGUUUCUACGGGGCCCGGAGGCGCCCCCGCUUCGCGGCACGGUGUGAGUCACCGUCCACCACCUGCUCCUGUCGCCAGGGCCCGCGUCCUCUCCGGACCUGUGGCUGCUGCUGUUGCGUAGCGUCGACUCCUUCGAGAAGCAGUUCUGCUACGCUCCAGCCAGCCCCUAACUGGUCCCCAGAAGCGGCGCUGCUACAGGGACCAGGAGCUGCUGCGAACUGCGCUGGCGGGGGCUCGUCCUUGGGCGCGGGGCUUCAUCAUGGACACGCUCUCGGCCCAGGCCGCGAAACAAGCCCGCGUGACUGGCGGAGGCACAGAGACCAAGGCCGCUUAACCUGGCUGGUUGCACUGGUCCCUGGAGAGAGGGCGUCCCCUGCAGGAGAGCUUCAUGCGCCUGGUGGAGGCCUGUGGGGACUCGGAGCAAAGCAUGGACAACUGGCUGAGUCGGCUGGACGGCUGCCGCUGACUGUAACAUGUAAAGCAGGCACUGAGCACCACCUGCCUGGCAGUCCAGGGCAUGGAGAGGCACAGACAGCACCCUGCUUGUGACUUCACUGGCCCAACUCAUCCUGGACCCCUUGAGCAAGACCAUGGCUGGAUUCCAGGAACUGGUGGAGUGGAAGUGGAUCCAGGAAAGCCAGCCACCCCUUCCAGCUGCGCUGUGCCCAUUCAGCCUUCUCCCAUGCCCACCCCAAGCAUGAGGCACCCACCUUUCUCCUCUUCCUGGACUGCGUGUGGCAGCUGGGCUGCCGGUUCCCACUGUCAUUGGAGUUUGGGGAAGGGCUACUGUUGGCGCUGUUUGGGCACGCCUAUGCCUCCUCUUUUGGCACCUUCCUCUGCAACAGCGAAAAGGAGAGAUGCCGUGUGAAGGGAGGACUCAGAUGCACUCCCUGUGGUCUGGGCUCAACCAGCCAAAAGAGCAACAAAGACUCCAGAACCCACUCUACCUCCUCAAUCCCUUGGCCAUCUGUGGAGCCCCAGAGCCUGCGGCUGUGGCAAGGCCUGUUUCUGCGCUGGACCUGCUCACCUGAGCCUGCAGAAGCUGCAUGGGGGAAGAGUGUGGCAAAUAGUGACAGGAAGGGAGAAGACAGAAGCCUCUCAGCCAACUGCUUCAGCCGAGCCCCUAUUCUAAGCACUGGCUCCUUGGAUAGCAGCUGAGAUGUUCCUGAAACCUCUGCAGGCCCCUUAGGACCUUUACACCUUGGAUGAGGGUGCCUGCAACCCAGGUUAGCCAAAAGUACUGAGGGUCUUAAGUUUGAAGUGUCCAAAGUAUAGGGAGGUCUCAAUAAUAAAAGUCUCCAUGAUCAGCA